UUUCCACAUGAAAGAAUUCUCGCAAGGAUACCUUAUUAAGGAUUCAUGGGGCGGGCCCAGCUAGCUUUAGCCACAGUUUCCAUGAAACCUCCAAACCUCGCAAAUUUCUCUACCCUUCAGUUUAAUACAUCUUGCCAUGGCAUUAAUUCCCAAACCAUCUCAGUCAACCCAUGCCACCCAACCUAGAAAUUCUAGCUCCGCCCAUGUAUGAUUAUUAUAUAUAAAAACACACACACACACCUAUGUUCUCAUCGAAUGUGCUUUGUAUUAUUACAGGAACAAUGGCUUCUAAGAAAUUUUUAUGUUUUUGGAACGCUUUCUUGAUUGUCAUACUUCUUUUGUCUUCUGCAAUGGGAUCAAGGGAUCUGUCAGAGAUUGCCAGGCCUCUUAUGAUUUUUGAGAAGGCUGGAGGAAUUCAAAGCGGUCCUCCACGGGACGGCCAUUACAAAGUUGGUCCCUCCACCGGUCCAACGGCUAAUUAGCUGAAUUUCAUGACAUCUUUUAUUGAGGACAAAAUAACGCAAAUAUUUAAUAGUUUAAUAUUGUGAUAUAUGCAUCUACAGUCAAUAAAUUUCUGUACGCAUUAUUAAGCGUACCUUGCAAUCCUGGUUUUUGCCUUGCAUUAUAUAUGGUGAAGCGUUGAGGUUGAUAUCAAAAGUUCCUGCUGCUGAAAGUUAGUGUUACGUUUAGUUGUACCUUUGAUUAAUUUGUAGAGCUUUACAUCUUCUUGUAGCUGGCAAGAGAGAAAUAAAGGAGACGAAGAUAGUAUAGUAUCUUUUAUUUUAUU